GACGAACCGUGCGAACGUUGUUCGGAUUCACUGGGCGUAAAGGGUGCGUAGGCGGUCGGGUAAGUCUGACGUGAAAUCUUCAAGCUCAACUUGGAAACUGCGUCGGAUACUAUUCGGCUAGAGGAAUGGAGGGGAGACUGGAAUACUUGGUGUAGCAGUGAAAUGCGUAGAGAUCAUGAGGAAGACCAGUGGCGAAGGCGGGUCUCUGGACAAUUCCUGACGCUGAGGCACGAAAGCCAGGGGAGCAAACAGG
rnacentral:rRNA from 1 species